CUCGAGCCGGUUGGGCGAGGCCAAUAGUUUCGAAAUUUCGUAGAUUCCGACGAGAGCAGAUUCGCUCGGGUCGAACGCGCGAGCC
rnacentral:tRNA from 1 species